AUCGUAUUGGACUGAUAGCACUUAAUUUCAUCUGAUCUUAGAGGACAGGCGGUGCUGGGCCUUGCUAAUACUUGGAUGGAAGAUAACCUUGGACUCCCAGGGACAACAGAUG
rnacentral:rRNA from 1 species